UGGUAUGCAUGCCUAGCAACAGUAAAAAUGUGAAUAGGGGGCUUUUACGCUAUGCAGAGGAUAUAAAUGGAGUGACACUGUAUGUGGUAGGUUGACAAAUAGUUUUAUGAAUACAUUUUAUGCUACAGUUUUUAAAAAAUAUACUGAGUUUUGUUUCUUUCUUAUUGCAGCUUAGGAAAGCCUUCUUAAUUAAUGACUCAGACUCUGAGGAUGACAUAGUCGUGUUGGGCUCCCCUGUUAGAACCUAUGUUGACGAAGACGUGGAUAUGGCCAGCAUAUUAAGAACCUUACAGAUGGAAAACCUCAAUGAGGACAGCAAAUUCACAGUAAUUGGCACGACGGAAGAAAAUACUGCCUAGUGCCUGUGCAGCCUGGCAAAAAGUUACUUUGCAUGGCAUAAAACACCAGUCAGUGAAUAUGUUGGUGAAACAGCUGAUGAUUAUGGCGGACCUCAAGAGAGUUCUUCAGGUUUGGAGUCUUUUACUGUGUGUGUGUGUGAGAGAGAGAGAGCGAUUGUUUAAUAUGACUUAUGCACAUAAUGGAAUGCUUAGUUUCUCCACUUAAUAUAUGUAUUGACAGUUCUUUGAACUUCCCCUUCUUUAUGAUAGAUUGUUAUUGAUAGAUGUCCAGACAUUGCUUUGAGUUUUUAAAGGUUUGGGAGGACAUCUUUUUUUCACGUAUGACCAGGCAGCUUUGGACAGCAGCAAAUUCUAUACAGUUGGCAAGCUUAUAGCCUGGUCUAUAAUCCAUGGUGGGCCAGGAAUUAAAGCCUUGGAUCCUCAUUUGUUCCAGCUGAUGUGUGGCCAGACAGUAAAACUGGAAAAGUUUAACAGCCAUCAUUUUCCAAAUGUUGAUAUUCAUGAAAUGAUUAGUCAGAUUUCACAGUGCACACCUCCUGCAGAUGUUUUUACUCUACGAGCACAACUAGGAGACUGGAUUGCAGACUGUGGAGUCCCGGGAAUUUUUACUGCUGGACUUGCAGAUAGAGUGGAACCUCAGUUUACGAGUAACUUGGUUUACGAGUGUUUUGUGAGCUAAAUUUUUUA